rnacentral:rRNA from 1 species
UACGUAGGCAGCAAGCGUUGUUCGGAAUUACUGGGCGUAAAGAGUGUGUAGGCGGUUCUCCAAGUCUGUUGUGAAAUCUCCCGGCUUAACUGGGAGGGUGCAUUAGAAACUGGAAUGCUAGAGGAUGGGAGAGGUAAGCGGAAUUCCUGGUGUAGCGGUGAAAUGCGUAGAUAUCAGGAGGAACACCGGUGGUGUAGGCGGCUUUCUGGACCGUAACUGACGCUGAGACACGAAAGCGUGGGUAGCAAACAGG